rnacentral:rRNA from 1 species
UCCGGAAUUAUUGGGCGUAAAGAGCUCGUAGGCGGCUGGUCGCGUCUGUCGUGAAAUCCUCUGGCUUAACUGGGGGCUUGCGGUGGGUACGGGCCGGCUUGAGUGCGGUAGGGGAGACUGGAAUUCCUGGUGUAGCGGUGGAAUGCGCAGAUAUCAGGAGGAACACCGGUGGCGAAGGCGGGUCUCUGGGCCGUUACUGACGCUGAGGAGCGAAAGCGUGGGGAGCGAACAGGAUUAGAUACCCUGGUAGUCCACGCCGUAAACGUUGGGCACUAGGUGUGGGGGGCCUUUUCCGGGUUCUUCCGCGCCGUAGCUAACGCAUUAAGUGCCCCGCCUGGGGAGUACGGCCGCAAGGCUAAAACUCAAAGGAAUUGACGGGGGCCCGCACAAGCGGCGGAGCAUGCGGAUUAAUUCGAUGCAACGCGAAGAACCUUACCAAGGCUUGACAUGAGGGCGAUCGUCCCGGAGACGGGGCUUCCAUUUUUUGGCGCUCUUACAGGUGGUGCAUGGUUGUCGUCAGCUCGUGUCGUGAGAUGUUGGGUUAAGUCCCGCAACGAGCGCAACCCUUGUCCUGUGUUGCCAGCACGUUGUGGUGGGGACUCGCGGGAGACUGCCGGGGUCAACUCGGAGGAAGGUGGGGAUGACGUCAAAUCAUCAUGCCCCUUAUGUCUUGGGCUUCACGCAUGCUACAAUGGCCGGUACAGAGGGCUGCGAUGCUGUGAGGCGGAGCGAAUCCCUUAAAGCCGGUCUCAGUUCGGAUCGGUGUCUGCAACUCGACACCGUGAAGUUGGAGUCGCUAGUAAUCGCAGAUCAGCAACGCUGCGGUGAAUACGUUCUCGGGCCUUGUACACACCGCCCGUCACGUCAUGAAAGCUGGCAACACCCGAAGCCCGU